ACAGAUUUUCAAACAAAAUGUCGUUAAAGCGCUUAACUUCAAAUCAAACUAAAAAUGAAUUUUGAAUUUUCAAUACCUUUGCAAAAAGAUGAGCUUUUGGAAUCUUCCAGUGGACAAUACCAUGUUGAAGAUGUGGUCCAACCAAGGAUUUUACUAUCAAAACUACAUGAUGCAGCGCGAGCCUACAAUUCGGACGGAGUGGAAUAUAUUUUAGAACAUUUUGAUACAUAUUUCUCUGUAAUUGUACAUGGAACAAAACUAGAAUGGAAUGUUAUUAAUAAAGGGUAUGAACACAUUCUUAGAACAGUG